UGAUGAAUAAUGACACGUACUAGUGGGAUGUGGCGUUAUAGCCGCAUCACAGUGGUUGGUACAAAUAUAUAAAGUCAACCGAGGUUCGAAUCAAGGGAUGGAAUAUGCCUUUGUGAAGCUGGAACUAGAAGUAAUCGUUUAAAAAAUAAAACGGUGAAUAGGUCUCUCUUAUUCA
rnacentral:ncRNA from 1 species